ACGUCUGCCCCCGCAUGCCCUUUUCAUUUGUGGUCCAAGAGCAAAGCUGGCCCUGGACGAGUCGUGGGUUUCCUGUGCUGCGUACCCACCGCGAAGGCACUCUUUAGUCCCAUCGUUCCUCGUUCGUCUUGUGUUGCCCCGCGUUUUUUGGACACGAGACGAACCCCUCGCAGCUUGCUCCGCGAUCCACCGCACGGUUGUCGGAAUCGUGGCUCGCGGAGUUUUGCUCGAGCUCUCGGAUGCAGAACGCCACGUGGGAACACGGGGUCUUAUGGCCCCCCGUUUCGCCCAACGAGCGUUCGUCGCUAAGCAGCGCACGACUGUCGUUCUCGCCUUGGUCGGCCGUCCCCCGGGCGGUCCGUUCAUGCGGUGCCGGCGUCGUUGAGGAAUGCU
rnacentral:misc_RNA from 1 species